UACAGAGGUGGCAAGCGUUGUUCGGAAUUACUGGGCGUAAAGGGCGCGUAGGCGGCCUUCUAAGUCAGACGUGAAAUCCCCCGGCUUAACCUGGGAACUGCGUCUGAUACUGGGAGGCUUGAGUAUGGGAGAGGGAUGUAGAAUUCCAGGUGUAGCGGUGAAAUGCGUAGAUAUCGUAAGGAACACCGGUGGCGAAGGCGGUUCACUGGGCAUGAUCUGACGCUGAGGAGCGAAAGUGUGGGGAGCGAACAGG
rnacentral:rRNA from 1 species